AGCCGGUGAUGCCAGAUUAUAUUUGCUACUCUUGAUGGGAUUUGUUCCUAUCUGAUGAUUCUUUAUCCGCGAGGAUCUCUGAGGCC